rnacentral:lncRNA from 10 species
UGUGAGUAUUUUUAACUUAUGGCAAUACAGUUAUUUGCAUAAGUGCAAUAAGAAUCUGUUUUCAUUUGUAACAGGAAACAACUGGAGAAACGUUAUUUCACCAAGGCUUUGACUGGAAUGUUGUGCUUUUUUUUAAGGAAUCAAACUUGACUUAUGGAUCCAAUAAAGCCCUUGGAAAAACUGGCCUCAUAUUUUGUGUAAACAGUCCCCGUACAGGGUUUCUGACUUGUGGACAUGAGACUUCACAGCCUGCUAAAAAUAAGCUUUUGGGACCUACCCAUUUAGGAAUAAACAGUCCUAGCCUUGAGAGAUCAGAUGAAAUCUGAGGCCAGAGACUCAUUUUCUUCUAAAAUGCUUUCUCCAAAAGAUUUUUAAAUAGAAAAGAGGGGAAAUGUGAAAGGAAAAUGUCUUCAGCCCCUUCAAGCUGGGAACUCUCAGUACAAAUCUGUCUCUCAUUCUAUUCAAAGUCAUUUCUCUGCUCAGAGAUAGAUGCAUAUUCUGAUUGCCUUCUUUGGAAAGACUUACCAGAAACUCAAAAGAAUGCAACCAUCUGUCUCUCACCUACCUGUGACCUGGAAGCCCAUAGGGUAAAGGGGGCUUGCUUUGAGUUGUCUCUACUUUUCUGAAUGGAAUGAAUGUACUUCUUACAUUUAUUGAUUGAUGUCUCAUGUUUCCCUAAAAUGUAUAAAACCAAUCUGUGCCCCGGCCACCCUGGGCAUGUGUUGUCAGGACUUCCUAAGGCUAUGUCACAGGUGCAUCCUCAACUUUGGCAAAUAAACUUUC